rnacentral:rRNA from 1 species
CUGCUCAGAUUGAACGCUGGCGGCAGGCCUAACACAUGCAAGUCGAGCGGAUGAAGUGAGCUUGCUCAUGGAUUCAGCGGCGGACGGGUGAGUAAUGCCUAGGAAUCUGCCUGGUAGUGGGGGACAACGUUUCGAAAGGAACGCUAAUACCGCAUACGUCCUACGGGAGAAAGCAGGGGACCUUCGGGCCUUGCGCUAUCAGAUGAGCCUAGGUCGGAUUAGCUAGUUGGUGAGGUAAUGGCUCACCAAGGCUACGAUCCGUAACUGGUCUGAGAGGAUGAUCAGUCACACUGGAACUGAGACACGGUCCAGACUCCUACGGGAGGCAGCAGUGGGGAAUAUUGGACAAUGGGCGAAAGCCUGAUCCAGCCAUGCCGCGUGUGUGAAGAAGGUCUUCGGAUUGUAAAGCACUUUAAGUUGGGAGGAAGGGUUGUAGAUUAAUACUCUGCAAUUUUGACGUUACCGACAG